rnacentral:rRNA from 1 species
UACGUAGGUGACGACAGCUGUUCGGUCGAAUUACUGGGUGUAAAGCGCGUGUAGGCGGCAGACCAAGUCGGCGGUGAAAGCGCCCGGCUCAACUGGGCGAGGUCCGUGGAAACUGGUCAGCUGGAGGACGGUAGAGGCGAGUGGAAUUCUCGGUGUAGCAGUGAAAUGCGUGGAUAUCGAGAAGAACACUUAGGGCGAAGGCAAGACUCUGGACAAAUGCUGACGCUCAUGCACGAAGGCUAGGGUAGCGAACGGG